CUUGAAAUGCAGGUGCAGCUGGACAUUCUUCUGAGCUAAAAGCAUAUUUAUUUAGUCCCGUCAAACGGAUUAUUACUUUUGCUCUAGCUAAUAUAAAGGUCGAAUGUACUAUACGCUGACUGAUGCAGGAUUACCAAGUUUUACCUAGUAAAACUUGUAAACUCGAUCUCAAAUCAAGUAAGACUACCCGCUGAACUUAA
rnacentral:misc_RNA from 1 species